AAGAGCCGUAUGACGGGAGACUGUCACGUACGGUUCUGUGAGAGGUUUAGGGUGAAAUUCCCCUUACCUACUCGGC
rfam:Fulvivirga imtechensis AK7 contig3, whole genome shotgun sequence.